rnacentral:misc_RNA from 1 species
AUUUUUUAUAUCUUUUUAUCAUGUUCAUGUUUUUGAAUGUUUUAUUCAAAUAAUGUAAAAAAUAAAAUAGAUAUUGACAUGGAUUGAACAAAAGAUAUAUAUUAUUUUAUGUUGCAUAAACAAAUUGGCAAAAUAGAGAUGGAAGAUAAAAAUAUGGUCAAAGUAAUAAGAGUCUAUGGUGAAUGCCUAGGAGCUUUAAGGCGAAGAAGGUCGUGGUAAGCUGCGAAAAGCUUGGGGGAGAAGCAAACAUUUAUUGAUCCCAAGAUUACCGAAUGGAGUAAUCCA